AACGAACGCUGGCGGCAGGCCUAACACAUGCAAGUCGAACGCCCCGCAAGGGGAGUGGCAGACGGGUGAGUAACACGUGGGAACAUGCCCUUCGGUUCGGAAUAACUCAGGGAAACUUGAGCUAAUACCGGAUACGUCCGAGAGGAGAAAGAUUUAUCGCCGAAGGAUUGGCCCGCGUCUGGUUAGCUUGUUGGUGAGGUAACGGCUCACCAAGGCGACGAUCAGUAGCUGGUCUGAGAGGAUGAGCAGCCACACUGGGACUGAGACACGGCCCGGCCGCCGACGAGAGGCAGCAGUGGGGAAGAUUGGACAAUGGGCGCAAGCCUGAUCAAGCCAUGCCGCGUGAGUGAUGACGGCCCUAGGGUUGUAAAGCUCUUUUGCCUGGGAAGAUAAUGACGGUACCAGGAGAAUAAGCCCCGGCUAACUUCGUGCCAGCAGCCGCGGUAA
rnacentral:rRNA from 1 species